rnacentral:rRNA from 1 species
ACGAACGCUGGCGGCGUGCGUAACACAUGCAAGUCGAACGGAAAGGCCCUGCUUUUGUGGGGUGCUCGAGUGGCGAACGGGUGAGUAACACGUGAGUAACCUGCCCUUGACUUUGGGAUAACUUCAGGAAACUGGGGCUAAUACCGGAUAGGAGCUCCUGCUGCAUGGUGGGGGUUGGAAAGUUUCGGCGGUUGGGGAUGGACUCGCGGCUUAUCAGCUUGUUGGUGGGGUAGUGGCUUACCAAGGCUUUGACGGGUAGCCGGCCUGAGAGGGUGACCGGCCACAUUGGGACUGAGAUACGGCCCAGACUCCUACGGGAGGCAGCAGUGGGGAAUAUUGCACAAUGGGCGGAAGCCUGAUGCAGCAACGCCGCGUGCGGGAUGACGGCCUUCGGGUUGUAAACCGCUUUCGCCUGUGACGAAGCGUGAGUGACGGUAAUGGGUAAAGAAGCACCGGCUAACUACGUG